UACGGAGGGGGCUAGCGUUGUUCGGAAUUACUGGGCGUAAAGGGCGCGCAGGCGGCUGCUCAAGUCAGGCGUGAAAGGCCUGGGCUCAACCCGGGAAUUGCGCUUGAGACUGGGCUGGCUUGAGUGCGGGAGAGGAUGGUGGAAUUCCCAGUGUAGAGGUGAAAUUCGUAGAGAUGUGGAGGAACACCGAUGGCGAAGGCAGCCUCCUGGGCCGACACUGACGCUGAGGGCACGAAAGCGUGGGGAGCAAACAGG
rnacentral:rRNA from 1 species